rnacentral:misc_RNA from 1 species
GAUGAAGAACGUAGCGAAAUGCGAUAAGUAGUGUGAAUUGCAGAAUUCAGUGAAUCAUCGAAUCUUUGAACGCACAUUGCGCCCUUUGGUAUUCCGAAGGGCAUGCCUGUUCGAGCGUCAUUUGUACCCUCAAGCUUUGCUUGGUGUUGGGCGUCUUGUCUCUAGCUUUGCUGGAGACUCGCCUUAAAGUAAUUGGCAGCCGGCCUACUGGUUUCGGAGCGCAGCACAAGUCGCACUCUCUAUCAGCAAAGGUCUAGCAUCCAUUAAGCCUUUUUUUCAACUUUUGACCUCGGAUCAGGUAGGGAUACCCGCUGAACUUAAGCAUAUCAAUAAGCGGAGGA